UACGUAGGUGACAAGCGUUGUCCGGAUUUACUGGGCGUAAAGAGCGCGCAGGCGGUCGUUCAAGUCGAGUGUGAAAGCCCCCGGCUCAACUGGGGAGGGUCAUUCGAUACUGAUCGACUCGAAGGCAGGAGAGGGUAGUGGAAUUCCCGGUGUAGUGGUGAAAUGCGUAGAUAUCGGGAGGAACACCGGUGGCGAAGGCGGCCAACUGGACGAAUACUGACGCUGAGACUCGAAAGCGUGGGGAGCAAACAGGA
rnacentral:rRNA from 1 species